GCGGAUGGCCGGGUGACCGCGGGGGCACGCCCCCGAGGAAAGUCCGGACUCCAUGAGGCAACGGUGCCGGGUAACGCCCGGCGGGGGUAACCCCAGGGAAAGCGCAACAGAGAACAGACCGCCUGUGCCAGUCACAGGUAAGGGUGAAACGGUGGGGUAAGAGCCCACCGGGGGGCUGGCAACAGACCCCGCAUGGCAAGCCCCACCGGGAGCAAUGCCGAAUAGGGACCUCGUGCCGGCAACGGCAGCGCCGCCUUGCGCCAGAAGGUCCGGGUUGGCAGCUUGACGCACGCAGUAAUGCGCUGCGCAGAGGAAUGGUCAUCCAGAGGGGCAACCCUUGGACAGAAUCCGGCUUACAGGCCAUCCGCGUGU
rnacentral:RNase_P_RNA from 1 species